ACCUAUCUUCAGGGCAGGGUGAAAUUCCCGAUCGGCGGUACAGUCCGCAAGCGCAAGCAGAUUCGGUGUGAUUCCGAAACCGACAGUAUAGUCUGGAUGAGAGAAGAUAUGU
rfam:Megasphaera micronuciformis F0359 genomic scaffold Scfld98, whole genome shotgun sequence.